rnacentral:rRNA from 1 species
CAGUAGCCGCGGUAAUACGAGGGGUGCAAGCGUUAUUCGGAUUGAUUGGGUGUAAAGGGUGUGCAGACGGCUUAUUAAGUCACUUGUUAAAUUCUUCGGCCUAACUGAAGGUCUGCAAGUGAUACUGAUGAGCUAGAGGGUGGAAGAGAGAAGUGGAAUUCUCGGAGUAGCGGUAAAAUGCGUAGAUCUCGAGAGGAACACCAAUGGCGAAGGCAGCUUCUUGGUCCAUUCCUGACGUUCAUACACGAAAGCGUGGGGAGCAAACAGGAUUAGAGACCCCGGUAGUCCCUGUCUCUUAUAC